GGCGAACUGCUCAGUAACACGUAGCUAACCUACCCUCAAGCCGAGAAUACCCUCGGGAAACUGAGGCUAAUACUCGAUAGAUGAUAAAGGCUGGAAUGCGUUAUCGUCGAAAUUUUGCGUGAGGAUGGGGCUGCGGCGGAUUAGGUUGUUGGCGGGGUAAUGGCCCACCAAGCCGAUGAUCUGUAUGGGUUUUUAGCGAAAGAGCCCAGAGAGGGAAUCUGAGACACUAUUCCCAGCCCUACGGGGUGCAGCAGUCGGGAAUUUUUUGCAAUGCGCGCAAGCGUGACAGAGCGAACCAGAGUGCUUUCCCGUAUUGGGAAAGCUUUUGUCAGAUGUAAAUAUUCUGACGAAUAAGGACUGGGCAAGACUGGUGCCAGCCGCCGCGGUAAUACCAGCGGUCCAAGUCGCAACCACAUUUAUUGGGUCUAAAACAUCCGUAGCUNNNNNNNNGGAUACUGUAUGGCUAGAGACUGGGAGAUGUAAGGAGUACGGAUAGGGUAAUGGUAAAAUAUGUUGAUCCUUUCUGGACUAACGAUAGCGAAGGCACCUUACAAGAACAGAUCUGACAGUGAGGGAUGAAGGCUAGGGGCGCAAAACGGAUUAGAUACCCGUGUAGUCCUAGCAGUAAACACUGCACACUAAACAUUGGAACCUCUUCGGGAGGUUUCAGUGCUGCAGGGAAGCCGAAGAGUGUGCUACCUGGGAAGUAUAGUCGCAAGGCUGAAACUUAAAGGAAUAGGCGGGGGAGCAUACAUCGAGUGACGCGUACGGUUCAAUCGGAUUCCACACCGUGAACCUUACCAGGACCGACAGCAGAAUGAAGGUCAGUCUAAAGGGCUUACCUGACACGCUGAGAGGAGUUGCAUGGCCGACGUCAGCCUGUGUCGUGAGAUGACCUGUUAAAUCAGGUAACAGGCGNNNNNNNNNNNNNNUGCCCUGGGCAACACGUGCGCGGCAAUGCUGGAUUCAAAGGGCUGCGACCCUGAAAGGGGAAGCCAAUCUCAUAAACUCCAGCUUAGUUCAGAUUGAGGGUUGUAACUCACCCUCAUGACGCUGGAAUUCGUAGUAAUCGGGUUUAAUCAGAGCCCGGUGAAUAAGUCCCUGCUCCUUGCACUCACCGCCCGUCAAACGAACCGAGUUUUGCUUUGGCGAGGUCCGUCAGGAACGAACCUCGGUAAGACAAGGUAGGUUAAGUCGUCACAAGGUAACCGUAGGGGAACCUGCGGUUGGAUCACCUCCUAU
rnacentral:rRNA from 1 species